rnacentral:snoRNA from 10 species
GGUGAAAAUGAUGAAUUCUGGGGCGCUGAUUCAUGUGACUUGAAAAAUGCCAUCCAUUUCCUGAUUCACC